UACGUAGGUGGCGAGCGUUGUCCGGAAUUACUGGGUGUAAAGGGCGUGUAGGCGGGGAUACAAGUCAGAUGUGAAAUACCGUGGCUUAACCACGGGGCUGCAUCUGAAACUGUAUUUCUUGAGUGUCGGAGAGGAAAGUGGAAUUCCCAGUGUAGCGGUGAAAUGCGUAGAUAUUGGGAGGAACACCAGUGGCGAAGGCGACUUUCUGGACGAUAACUGACGCUGAGGCGCGAAAGCGUGGGGAGCAGACAGGAUUAGAAA
rnacentral:rRNA from 1 species